CCUGAUGCUGGGUGAGGACAAUGCCCAUGGAAAGAAGCUAAAAUCAGGAAGCCAGCAGACCCAGACAGAAAGCACAGAUCUGGCAAGCAACUUCAAGGACUCUAGUGCUACUCUCCCAAAGAGACAUUUCAGAAUCUUCUCCACUGAGCUGGGGAUGUAGCUCAGUGGUGCUGCUCCUGCCUGGUAAGUGCAAGGUCCUGAGUUUGAUCCCCAGUACCAUAAAAAAAAAGAAAAUUUCUUUGAAGAAUCUGG
rnacentral:lncRNA from 1 species